rnacentral:rRNA from 1 species
GAUGAACGCUAGCGGCAGGCUUAAUACAUGCAAGUCGAGGGGUAACAUGGGGUAGCAAUACUCUGAUGACGACCGGCAAACGGGUGCGGAACACGUACGCAACUUUCCCAAAACUGGUGAAUAGCCCUCCGAAAGGAGGAUUAAUACACCGUAACAUAACGAGGUGGCAUCAUCUUGUUAUUAUAGCUCCGGCGGUUUUGGAUGGGCGUGCGCCUGAUUAGGUAGUUGGCGGGGUAAUGGCCUACCAAGCCUGUGAUCUGUAGCUGGUCUGAGAGGACGAUCAGCCACAUUGGGACUGAGACACGGCCCAAACUCCUACGGGAGGUAGCAGUGGGGAAUCUUGCGCAAUGGGCGAAAGCCUGACGCAGCCAUGCCGCGUGAAUGAUGAAGGUCUUAGGAUUGUAAACCCCUUUCGGGAGGAAGAUGGAGCGAGCAAUCGUUCGGACGGUACCUCCAGAAGCAGCCACGGCCAACUCGUGCCAGCAGCCGC